rnacentral:rRNA from 1 species
UACGGAGGGUGCAAGCGUUAUCCGGAUUCACUGGGUUUAAAGGGUGCGUAGGUGGGCAGGUAAGUCAGUGGUGAAAUCUCCGAGCUUAACUCGGAAACUGCCGUUGAUACUAUUUGUCUUGAAUAUUGUGGAGGUAAGCGGAAUAUGUCAUGUAGCGGUGAAAUGCUUAGAUAUGACUUAGAACACCAAUUGCGAAGGCAGCUUACUACACAACGAUUGACGCUGAGGCACGAAAAGCGUGGGGGAUCAAACAGG